rnacentral:rRNA from 1 species
AGAAUCAACGCUGGCGGCGUGCCUAACACAUGCAAGUCGAACGAGAAAGGGGAGCAAUCCCUGAGUACAGUGGCGACCGGGUGAGUAACACGUGACUAACCUACCCUCGAGUGCGGAAUAACAUCGGGAAACCGAUGCUAAUACCGCAUAACAUCGCAAGAUCAAAGGAGUAAUCCGCUUGAGGAGGGGGUCGCGGCUGAUUAGCUAGUUGGCGGGGUAAUGGCCCACCAAGGCGAAGAUCGGUA